GAAAAGUUAGUUAAUAAUAACAUAAAAUUGUCAAUUUUAAAUUACUAGUUAAACUAGUACUUCUCA
rnacentral:tRNA from 1 species